UCACGCAUCGCGUCUCCCCCAAAUCCACCCCGAGUGGAGGGGAAGGACGAUGGUCUCCCGUGACUCACCGGUCGCGGCUGGCCUAAAAUUGGAGCCCUCGGCAUCGGUGAUGCCGCGGCGAUAGGUGGUGAACAAGGCCUCGGCCAAGCAAGCAACCCGCCGCGCGUCGCCAUGCCAAUGUGAGCUCGAAGGACCCUUUGAUGUUGCCCUUGGGCAACCAAACCGUUGCGAC
rnacentral:rRNA from 1 species